GACGGUGGCUUAGUAUGUUAGAGCGUCGGCCGUAUGUGCCGAAGGUCGAGGGUUCGAGUCCCACUCGUGCCA
rnacentral:tRNA from 1 species